GGGGAUGUAGCUCAAAUGGUAGAGCACUUGCUUUGCAUGCAAGAAGCGCGGGGUUCGAUCCCCCGCAUCUCCA